UACGGGGGGGGCAAGCGUUGUUCGGAAUUACUGGGCGUAAAGGGCUUGUAGGCGGCCAACUAAGUCCGACGUGAAAUCCCCAGGCUUAACCUGGGAACUGCGUCCGGAUACUGGAUGGCUUGAAUUCGGGAGAGGGAUGCAGAAUUCCAGGUGUAGCGGUGAAAUGCGUAGAUAUCUGGAGGAAUACCGGUGGCGAAGGCGGCAUCCUGGACCGGCAUUGACGCUGAUGAGCGAAAGCUAGGGGAGCAAACGGG
rnacentral:rRNA from 1 species